rnacentral:rRNA from 1 species
UACGUAGGGUCCGAGCGUUGUCCGGAAUUACUGGGCGUAAAGAGCUCGUAGGUGGUUUGUCGCGUUGUUCGUGAAAACUCACAGCUCAACUGUGGGCGUGCGGGCGAUACGGGCAGACUUGAGUACUGCAGGGGAGACUGGAAGUUCCUGGUGGUAGCGGUGGAAUGCGCAGAUAUCAGGAGGAACACCGGUGGCGAAGGCGGGUCUCUGGGCAGUGAACUGACGCUGAGGAGCGAAAGCGUGGGGAGCGAACAGGA